UACGUAGGGGGCAAGCGUUGUCCGGAUUUAUUGGGCGUAAAGAGCGUGUAGGCGGUUUGGUAGGUCCGCUGUGAAAACUCGAGGCUCAACCUCGAGACGCCGGUGGAAACCAUCAGGCUAGAGUCCGGAAGAGGAGAGUGGAAUUCCUGGUGUAGCGGUGAAAUGCGCAGAUAUCAGGAAGAACACCAAUGGCGAAGGCAGCUCUCUGGGACGGUACUGACACUGAGACGCGAAAGCGUGGGGAGCGAACAGG
rnacentral:rRNA from 1 species